ACGAACGUUGGCGGCGUGCCUAAUACAUGCAAGUCGAACGAACUUCCGUUAAUGAUAGUUGAUGCUUGCAUUAACUUGACUUAACAUCGAAGUGAGUGGCGAACUGGUGAGUAACACGUAGGUAACUUGCCCUAAAGUGGGGGAUAACAUUUGGAAACAAGUGCUAAUACCGCAUAACAACAAAAACCGCAUGGUUUUUGUUUGAAAGAUGCGUUUGCAUCGCUUUAGGAUGGACCUGCGGCGUAUUAGCUAGUUGGUAAGGUAAUGGCUUACCAAGGAAAUGAUACGUAGCCGACCUGAGAGGGUAAUCGGCCACAAUGGGACUGAGACACGGCCCAUACUCCUACGGGAGGCAGCAGUAGGGAAUCUCCCACAAUGGACGAAAGUCUGAUGGAGCAACGCCGCGUGAGUGAAGAAGGGUUUCGGCUCGUAAAACUCUGUUGUUAAAGAAGAACGGACGUGAUAGGAAAUGAUCACGUCGUGACGGUAUUUAACCAGAAAGUCACGGCUAACUACGUGC
rnacentral:rRNA from 1 species